rnacentral:piRNA from 1 species
UAUUAACAAACAAUUUGACUU